UUGAUGUUAAUUUGAGCGCUGUUCCUUGAUUCUAAUCUUGUGUUGGGAAAUAUCGUCCGGGUACUCUUCUUCUGAGACUUUUAACUCUUGUGCUUCAAUCCGGUUUGUCGGAAGCUCUCUCGACACUAUCCGUUCCGCACUUCAAAUAGAUGCUGUUGGAGCCCCUUUCGGAGUACCCCUGCUAUUUCAUUGGAAUAUGGCUUAAAACGAAAAUAAGGGAUGAAGGGCUGAGCGCUGUUUCCCUUUAAGAGCAAUACUUGAGGGGGCUCUUUAAACUUUGAUUGAAUGGUGGCAUGUCACUGGAAGCUCGAAAAACAAGAAGUGUAGCAUAAAUAUAUAACUGGG
rnacentral:sRNA from 1 species